GUGGGGAAUAUUGCGCAAUGGGCGAAAGCCUGACGCAGCGACGCCGCGUGAGGGAUGAAGGUCUUCGGAUCGUAAACCUCUGUCAGCAGGGAAGAACGGUCACUGUGCUAAUCAGCAGUGAAUUGACGGUACCUGCAAAGGAAGCACCGGCUAACUCCGUGCCAGCAGCCGCGGUAAUACGGAGGGUGCGAGCGUUAAUCGGAAUUACUGGGCGUAAAGCGCUCGUAGGCGGUAUGUCAAGUCAAGGGUGAAAUCCCCGCGCUCAACGUGGGAACUGCCUUUGAAACUGGCAAACUGGAGUGUGUGAGAGGAUAGUGGAAUUCCAGGUGUAGGAGUGAAAUCCGUAGAUAUCUGGAGGAACAUCAGUGGCGAAGGCGACUAUCUGGCACAUAACUGACGCUGAGGAGCGAAAGCGUGGGUAGCAAACAGGAUUAGAAACCCUUGUAGUCC
rnacentral:rRNA from 1 species